GUGAUUAUACAAUGCUAUGUAGGAUAAGAUUUAUUUUGCUAUAAUAUGUGUAGGAUAGGAUAGGAUGACCCAUAUCUUAUAAGAUUGUGUGAUUAUGUGGAGUAUUUUCAUUAUAACUAAAGAAAUAUUAAAUUGCGAAUUAAAUUAAAAUAAAAAUAUGAAUACUAAAGUACGGAACAAAUGAAGUGUAAUUUGUGGUAUUAGUCUCAAACACGUAAAGGUUUUUUUUUUUUUUUUUUGUAGAAUUCAAACACGUUAGUUUUUAAAUGAAAGUAAACUGAUUUUAAA
rnacentral:lncRNA from 1 species